AGCAGCCGCGGUAAUUCCAGCUCCAAUAGCGUAUAUUAAAGUUGUUGCAGUUAAAAAGCUCGUAGUUGAAUUUCGGGGUCUGUCCGUCGGUCGGGCUUCACGGUCCGUACUGGUGUGAUGGGUUCCUACCUUCUGAAUAACCGGCAUGCCAUUCAGUUGGUGCGCCGGGGAAGCAGAGCUAUUACCUUGAAAAAUUAGAGUGCUUAAAGCAGGCUAGUGCUUGAAUAGAUUAGCAUGGAAUAAUAAAAUAGGACGGCAUGGUUCUAUUUUGUUGGUUUCUAGGAUCACCGUAAUGAUUAAUAGGGAUAGUUGGGGGCAUUAGUAUUCAAUUGUCAGAGGUGAAAUUCUUGGAUUUAUUGAAGACUAACUUCUGCGAAAGCAUUUGCCAAGGAUGUUUUCAUUAAUCAAGAACGAAAGUUAGGGGACCGAAGACGAUCAGAUA
rnacentral:rRNA from 1 species